rnacentral:rRNA from 1 species
GCGUAACAGCUCGUCAAUCCUAGAAUUUUAAAUAAUUCUGAAAAUGUAACAGGACUAAGAUUUUUACUUAAGCUAAGGUUGCUUUGAUUUAAAAUAAGUAAAAAGCAAGGUAGUAGAACGACCAUUAAAAAAAUGUAUUUCCGAUAGGAAAAAUAUAUGGUGCGAUAAUGUUGACACGAGUAACGUUUAGGUUGUGAAGAACAACCUCAUCAAAUAUGUAAGGAUUCCGAUGUAAAGUAACUUUCAUCGGGUUAGUCGGUCCCUAAUAGUUCUCUAUUUAUAAAAUAAGACUAAAUGGGUUAUUGGUUAGGCAACGACGGGUUUGAAUUUAGUGGUAAUAACAUUAAGUGCUCGUGUUAAUAAUAAAAUGUUUGACCUUUUGAGAAAAGUGACUUUUUAUUUAUUCAUGUUUACUAAAAUACUUGCUUACGUGAAUAGAUAAAUACUAGAAAAAGCUGUCUCAUAAAAAAACCGUACUUAAAGCCGACACAGGUAUUUUGAUAGAGUAUAUUAAGAUGAUUAAAAGAACAACACUGAAGGAACUCGGCAAAUUGACUCCGUAACUUCGGGAAAAGGAGUGCUUGCAUAGAGUAAUCUAUGUGUGCGUAACAGAAUAGGGGGUAGCGACUGUUUAAUAAAAACACAGGACUCUGCUAAAUUGAAAAAUGAUGUAUAGAGUCUGACAUCUGCCCGGUACCAUUAGAUAAACAAACGAGUUAUUGCUUGUGAGUAAAGGAUUGGUGAACGGCGGCUGUAACCAUAACGGUCCUAAGGUAGCGAAAUUCCCUGUCGGGUAAGUUCCGACCUGCAUGAAUGAUGUAACGACUUCCCCACUGUCUCCAGUGUUGCUUUAGUGAAACUGAAUUUGUUGUGAAGAUGCAAUAUUAAUAGUAAGUAGACGGAAAGACCCUGUACACCUUUACUAUAACACGGGAUUGUACGUUUGUUGUGUUUAUGUAGAAUAACUCUUAAGCUUAUAACUCACGUUACGCAAGUAACUUUGAUGAGGCGACGAUGAAAUAAGAGUUUUGCGGAACAAAUCUCUGUAUAGUCACAUUAAAAAUCCAGUGUGGUUAGUUUAACUGGGGUGGUUGUCUUCUAAAAUGUAACGAAGAUGUAUAAAGGUAUAUUUUGAAUUUAAUGGUAAAUUUAUGCUUAACUGUGAGAAUUACACUUCGAACAGAGACGUAAGUCGAUCAUAAUGAUCCAAUAGUGCUGUGUGGAAAGGCUAUUGCUCAACGGAUAAAAGGUACGUCAGGGAUAACAGGCUAAUAAAUCUUUAGAGUCCAUAUUUCCAGGUUUGUUUGGCACUUCGAUGUCGACUCAUCACAUCCUGGAGCUGCAGGAGGUUCCAAGGGUUGGGCUGUUCGCCCAUUAAAGUGGUACGUGAGUUGGGUUUAGAACGUUGUGAAACAGUUCGGUUCCUAUCUUUUACUUAUUUUAGAAUAAUAGAAUGAUACCCCUCGUACGAGAGGAUUGGGGUGUGUAUGUCACUGGUACUUCAGUUAUUUUAUAAAUGGUAAGCUGAAAAGCUAAACAUAAAUUUAGAAUCGCUGAAAGCAUAUAAGCG